AAUGGGAGAACUGGCCAUCCUUCCCAGAACAUUUAGACUCCUGACUCCCAGACCUGGAGUGACAGUUUCUCAUGUUAAAAUGAUCAGAAUAUCUGGCGGAUGAUCUCUCGUCGCUCGGGGACAAGUUUGUACUGGAUAACCUCCUCCAGCUCGGACAGCAUGUGGCAAGAAACCAUGGCCUGAUGGAAGCAAAUCGCAUUCCAAACUAAUUACUGCACGAACAAUCCAAAAGACAGGAUUAAUUUAAAUCAUUCCUUCUGGUGUCAGGGUAUCUGCCGAUCAGAGAAAACAGGCAUGUUUCCAGCAGCCUGGAUGAAAAGAGAAAUUCGCUGAAGAAGGGCAUUUUCCCAGAACUGAAUGGCUUGAGAGGAGGUAUUAUCCAAUUUCUCAUCGAAGACAGAAAUGUAUGGCAUCCAAAACUUUAACAUCUAUCUAAGGAUGGGGCUGGUUACCAGAAAGACCAAGUAAUUAUCGGGUUUGAACUUUCAGCCCUGUCCACUGACAUCCAGGAAAGGUGAAGAGGUUGAAAAUUAAAGGCAAUAAAAACUCUUGAACAAUGAGCUUCCAGGUUGAUGAAGGUGCUGGGAGGGUGAAGGUAAACCCCAGUACCACAGGACAGAAGCUUCUGCACUCCAGACCCUUCUAGACCUUCCCUCAUUGUACCUGUUCAUCUCUAUCUUUUAUAAUACCCUUUAUAAUAAACAA
rnacentral:antisense_RNA from 1 species